CGAGCGGCGGACGGGUGAGUAACGCGUGGGUAACCGUGCCUCAUACAGGGGGAUAACAGUUGGAAACGGCUGCUAAUACCGCAUAAGCGCACAGUACCGCAUGGUACCGUGUGAAAAACUCCGGUGGUAUGAGAUGGACCCGCGUCUGAUUAGCUAGUUGGUGGGGUAACGGCCUACCAAGCGACGAUCAGUAGCCGACCUGAGAGGGUGACCGGCCACAUUGGGACUGAGACACGGCCCAA
rnacentral:rRNA from 1 species